AGAGUUUGAUCAUGGCUCAGAUUGAACGCUGGCGGCAGGCCUAACACAUGCAAGUCGAGCGAGAAAGGCCUUCGGGCUGAGUACAGCGGCGGACGGGUGAGUAACGCGUAGGAAUCUACCUGGUAGUGGGGGACAACUUGUGGAAACGCAAGCUAAUACCGCAUACGCCCUAAGGGGGAAAAGCGGGGGAUCUUCGGACCUCGCGCUAUCGGAUGAGCCCUGCGUAGGAUUAGCUAGUUGGUGAGGUAAAAGCUCACCAAGGCGACGAUCCUUAGCUGGUCUGAGAGGAUGAUCAGCCACACUGGGACUGAGACACGGCCCAGACUCCUACGGGAGGCAGCAGUGGGGAAUAUUGCGCAAUGGGGGCAACCCUGACGCAGCCAUGCCGCGUGUGUGAAGAAGGCCCUAGGGUUGUAAAGCACUUUCAAUUGGGAAGAAAGGUUUGUAGUUAAUAACUGCAAGC
rnacentral:rRNA from 1 species